rnacentral:lncRNA from 1 species
UUUGCCUUGAAGGCAUGGAAAAGUAAUGAAAAAAACAUAAAAAUCUAUUGGUUAAGAAGUGUAUGAACCCUGAUUACUGUAAGAGGUGCAUAUACCAACACACAGACUCCUGUUUGGUUAGUUUCUGAUAAUUAUUGGUUAUAUUUAUGAUUUUUCUCAUGGUUUAGGUCCACUGGUCACAGCUGGCUUCCAAUGGGGUGUCCUCAAAGCCAGUUUAUCGUAAUGGGAGCCAAACAUCUGAUCAUAAUAAGAAGGACCUGGAUCAGUCAGAUAUGAAAAGGCGGCAGGUGAAGGUGGUUUUAACAGAUGUCCUCCAGACAGAAGAGGGCCGGAGGUACUUGAGUAGCUGUGGUCGUGAUUUUAGAAAGAAGUGCCAAUCAGAGCCUAAAGGAGACGCUAAGGAGGGGCGGAGAGACAGAAAAGCCCCAGCUGAGCUGAGAGAGAGGACGAGAGGUAGUCCACGAAAAAACACGUCCUCCUCCAAAUGGACUGAAUCACCGUCUACAGAACAGAGAGAAACCAGGUCUCCACUUUCCAAGAGACCCAGAAAAUCCAGCAGUUCACUGAAACCAACAGAGCCCACCAGCUCAAAUAAAAAAGAACCAUGUCCUCCUGAGAAAACUGUCUCGUCACAGGUUGAUCAUGUUCAAACUGCAGUGCCAAAAAAGAUCAAAUCAAAAUCGCCAGACACUGACAAUGAUGAGUUACGCCCAGAUAAGAAAAGUGACUCUGCAAAGUCUCCAAGUGCCAGUCCGCUUCAUUCUGAAAGAACCAGCCUUUCUAAAGAAGAGCAGAUUAACGUGGAGCGAGUUUCUGAGGUGGUGGUCACUCCGAGACGCACUCCUUCACGAGCAAGACUGCAGAACAGAUCAGAGCAGCUGAGAAAUGACUUCAAUUCCAAUCAGGUACUGCUGGGUUUGUAUAUAUUUCUGUUAAAAAAUAAUUGCAAUUUAAACCACAUUGCUCGAAUCCGUUUUUCUGCUCAGAUCAGAUUUGUCUAUCUUGA